rnacentral:rRNA from 1 species
UACGAGAGGCCCAAACGUUAUUCGGAAUUACUGGGCUUAAAGAGUUCGUAGGCGGCAUGACAAGUAGGGUGUGAAAGCCCUCGGCUCAACCGAGGAAUUGCGCUCUAAACUGUCGUGCUUGAGGAACCUAGAGGUGAGCAGAACAGAUGGUGGAGCGGUGAAAUGCGUUGAUAUCAUCUGGAAUACCGGAGGCGAAGGCGGCUCACUGGGAGUUUUCUGACGCUGAGGAA